rnacentral:tRNA from 1 species
AGAUAGAUGCCCGUAGGUUUGGGCGCUUAGCUGUUAACUAAGAGUUCGCAAGAUCGAAGCUUGCCUGUCUAGU